UACAGAGGUCCCAAGCGUUGUUCGGAUUCACUGGGCGUAAAGGGUGCGUAGGUGGCGGGGUAAGUCGGAUGUGAAAUCUCCGAGCUCAACUCGGAAAUGGCAUUGGAAACUACCUUGCUCGAGGGGUGGAGGGGGGACUGGAAUACUUGGUGUAGCAGUGAAAUGCGUAGAUAUCUGGAGGAACACCGGUGGCGAAGGCGGCAUCCUGGACCAACACUGACACUGAGGAGCGAAAGCCAGGGGAGCAAACGGG
rnacentral:rRNA from 1 species